GUAGGUGAACCUGCGGAAGGAUCAUUAGUGAUUGGCUCCGGCCUUUUAUGUCAUCCAUAAACCUCUUGUGAACCUGUGGCCCUCGGGCCUUUUCCAAACACCAGUGUAACGAACGUAAUCAAAUGAUAAUCAUUAAAACUUUCAACAACGGAUCUCUUGGCUCUC
rnacentral:misc_RNA from 1 species